GGCGUAUCGGCGGCAGUGCCCGCCACAUCCU
rfam:Faecalibacterium prausnitzii SL3/3 draft genome.